UACCCACAACAGUCGCCGCAGCGAUCAUGGCAACUUCUUGCAAUUACGGUCGUACCAACCGUACUGGCAAGGAUACAGGGCCUAAAUUUAUACAGGUUUCGUCAUGAGGGCUACCCAGUGAAUAAUCUGUGCAGUGUGAUACGGCUGGGUGUACAGGUUACUUCACGGCUGCCUCGACAUACUCAAGAAAUGGGUGCAGAACCUGCGUAAUGCCCACAAACUUUGACUACCACAGCACCUCCAGAAAGUAAAGGCAUAUGUGUCACAUGGG